rnacentral:lncRNA from 1 species
GAGGAGUAAACAAAAGCAGCAUCGUAGAUAAUGGACGUAAGUAAGCUCUCUCGUCUGCCGUAUUGAGAAGGUCGUCGUCUCUAAGUCAAAGCAAAUUCAAUCAUUCUCUCUUUUUUUUUUUUUUUUUAAUUCUUUCUCCACCACUAUCCAUCGACCCAUCUUUUUCAACCCUUGAUUCAACUAAAUUUGCCGCACAUUCUGAA